UAAAAAGCUCGUAGUUGGAUCUGUGUAUCGGACGGUCGGUUCGCCGCUCGCGGCGUUUAACUGACCGGUCCGGACGUCCUGCCGGUGGGCGCCGGUUCGCGCCGGGGCCCGUAACUCCCUCCGCGCUGCUCUUAACCGAGUGGUUCGGUGGGCCGGCACGUUUACUUUGAACAAAUUUGAGUGCUCAAAGCAGGCCUUUUGUCGCCUGAAAACUGUGUGCAUGGAAUAAUGGAAUAGGGCCUUGGUUCUAUUUUGUUGGCUUUUCUGAACUCGAGGUAAUGAUUAAUAGGGACAGACGGGGGCAUUCGUAUUGCGACGUUAGAGGUGAAAUUCUUGGAUCGUCGCAAGACGGACGGAUGCGAAAGCGUUUGCCAAGAAUGUUUUCGCUAAUCAAGAACGAAAGUUAGAGGUUCGAAGGCGAUCAGAUACCGCCCUAGUUCUAACCAUAAACGAUGCCAGCCAGCGAUGCGCCGAAGUUCCUCCGAUGACUCAGCGCGCAGCUUCCGGGAAACCAAAGCUUUUGGGUUCCGGGG
rnacentral:rRNA from 2 species